rnacentral:lncRNA from 1 species
GGCCAUGUAUUGUAUACUGAUAAUUGGUAUACGAGUCCUCAGCUGGCAAGGUAUUUACAUGAUAAUAAUACUGGUGCAGUGGGCACUGUCAGAUCAAAGAGAAAAUAUAUGCCAAACUUUGGAGUAACAAAAAAAGGUGAUGUAAUCAGAUUCAAGACACAUGAUAUGAUAGUAAUGAAAUGGCACGAUAAAAGAGCAGUGCAUCUUCUUUCUACUAUCCACACUGGCCAGAUGAAAGAUACCCAGCGGGUUCACAGGAGAACAAAUGAGCCUAUCUUCAAACCUGAUAUUGUCGCUGAUUAUAACAUCAACAUGAGACUCGUUGAUAAAGCUGAUAUGCAGCUAGGUACAGUGGACAGCCUAAGAAUAAGUGUCAAGUGGUAUAGGAAAGUAUUUUUCCACAUGAUAGAUAUUUGCAUGUUGAAUGCAUGCAACAUUUACAUGACCAAAACAGGCAACAAGUCAUCUCUAAGAGUAUUCAGUAUGAAAGUCAUAAAACAAAUGCUGGAAAGAUUUCCAACACAAGUGCCUACACAUUCACGUCCAGAUAGACAGAGCCGUGCAGCUCAGGAAGGACUGGCAAGCUGUAGGACUGGAAACUCAUUUCCCUGUACAUGUUCCUCCAGCACCAGGAAGGCCACAUAAGAAGGGACAGAGGGAAUGUAUAGUUUGCAAAACAACGCAGAGGAGAGAACAGAAACGCAAGCUAGUGACAACAAUGUGUGAAGGGCGUGGUGUAGGGUUGUGCCUAGGCGAAUGUUUCAAGAAAUAUCACACCCUCAAGACAUACUAAUAAGUGGGAAAGAGAACUGUUUAGAUAUAGUGAUACAUGUAUAAGGAGCAACAUAUGGCAAGAUGACCUAGUACGGAGCUCUACAUUCUACCAAUAGCAAGAUAAAUAUAACUUUACGUUAUACUAACAAAAUAAGUAUUACUUGUAAGAUUCACUGAAUACUGAUUUUACACAAAAUAUGACUGGGUAAAUGUUUGGAUGUAAGGUUGGGCAGCUGUGUGCCUACAUUAUCUUCUUUCCUUGUCACAGGGGCAGCAAGGGAGAGGGAGGCCUGUCUCCUUCAAGCAAACAGUACGUGGUGUAUCGGCAAGAUGAUCUAGUACAGAGUCCUACAUAGGAAUUCUACAGAGCUACCAGUUGCAAGGGAGCGCAGGGAGUGGGGAGAGAGGACUCUAUCCUUCAGGCAGAUGUUGGUGUAUCUUUUAUUGCCAUCAAACAGAUCAUCUUCCAUUAUUUCACAAGAGUUUGCAGAUGCAGCUUUCUUGCACCCACUUGAUGGCUCCUCGGAUUCCUCCCUUCACUCCCUCCGACCUUUACUACCCUGUGGGCCAGCACGUGUCAUCGCACUAGUGUUGCCAGAGUUUGUUUUGUUCUGCUCCAGUUCAUUCCCGUAUACAAGUUUUUAUUCUCUUUCUUUUCAGUUGUAAUAGAGCUUACUGUUAGACUAGGAUUACGGAAAUAAAGUAAUAAUUUAGACAACUCUUACCAUUUACUCCUCCGGGGUACCAGGGACCUCACAAAUAUAUUCCUCCUCGGACUCCUCGAAAGAGGUUAGGAACUGUUCCUCCAUAUAAUUUACAAAGCUAGAAACAGAAGAAGGAGAAGAAGAAAUAACGGAAGGGGGAGAUACUACAAGAGAAGAAGGUGGAGACAGAUCG